AAAAAAAAAAAAAAAAAAAAAAUAUUCCCAGUGAACUUUCCCCAGAAUCACAUUCUUUACCAAGCAUUUAUGAUAAUAUCAGUCAGGGUAUAAGCAAAAGUGAACCUUUCAAUUGUUUAUCCCAAUUACAACAGUUAGGAAAAUCCCUUUUCUUGCUAUCAAAAUUCACUUUACAGGUAGCGGAAAGACAAUAAAAAGGAAUUGCAAAAAUUCGCCACCGACCUAUAUCUUACCUUCCAGAACCCUAGAAAACCUCAAAAGUCAAAAAGAAUUGGAAAAAAGGUUCUCACCACUCAACAAUAGAAAACCUAAGUUCAAAGACUUUCUUAUAAAGAAAAAUAGAAUGCUUGAGACUACGAAAUGCAGAAAAUGUAACACCCCACAUGGCAGCAACAAGAAAGAGAGAACUGCACAUACCUACCUCGACUAACUUAAAAUGGUCAAUAUCUGAUACAGAUGAAUGCACUUCUUAGGCCUUCAACCCAAAACAAGUAGAAGAUCUCCAGAAUCCUCUUCUAGAUUUGCACUCUCACUCCAGCCAAUGUUGUAUCUUCUUUCUGUUCCCCUCUAUCCAAACUUGUUGGAGUUCCCAAAAUUUAUCCUAAGAUUGGACUUGUUUUCUUGGUGUACAAAAGGAUAUAUCAUAUCCAUCCAUCAGUAGUUACUAGGCCAGUUGAUCUGUUGAUGCUGAGGCUGCUGGUAUACACUGGCUGCAGGUCCCACCAUAUCAACAGCUCCAGCCAUGGCUUGAGACUGUUGAAGAAGUGGGUGAACAGCUGCUGCCGUCACUGCUUGUGCGGGCUGAUAGAUACUAGUAAAGGUUCCAUGACCAGCCUGUGCUGGGGUAAAAGUCACAUGCUGACCUUGAGGAGGAAGGCUGUAGAAGGAACUUGCUGGCAAGCUAGAUAUAUCUCGUCCAGGAGCAGCAAUCCACACGGCUGAACCCUCACUCUGCUGCCCAGUGAUGUAAACAUUACUUUCUUUGAACUGGGAUGCACCAAGAUCUUCAUUUGUGGUAGAGUUUCCUCCUGUUACCGCAGAACUGGGACUAUAACCAGCUUGAGAGGAGCCAUAUGGCCCAUAGCCGCUUGCCAUUCCAAUAUGAGUUGAAUUUCCUGUAUUAGUUCCUGGUUUAUAUUGUGGAAGUGAAUAUUUGACCCCCAUGGCAGCUGCAGCUGGUGGCGCAGGAUAUAUGCUUCCAGCUUGAGGUUGCUGGGGAAAUGCACC
rnacentral:misc_RNA from 1 species